CCUACACAAAGGGGAAGGAAGGAGCAAUUCUCUUGUUUGAAACUUUGCUGCAUGGACUAAGGGAGUAUUUUUCUUCAUCAGCAGAGAGAAAAGUCAACAAAGGUCUGGUCAUGGUGAGGAAAGGAAGUUUCACAAAAGUUCAACGAAGAGGAGAGACAGGAAAAGAAAGGCAACUAAGCACAUUUUCUGAAUUAUUGGUCUAUAAAGCUAAAGCCUAAUUUUUCUAUCAGUCCAAGCAGACUUCGUUGUAAUUGAAGGCUGGCCACCCCGGGAAGUCUCGGACAACGACGUGUUUCUUGAGCCACGUCUUUUAAUAUCUCCUGACUGGAAGAUAAAGAAGAUGGUGUAGACAGCUUAAGGGCAGAAGGUGCAAGGAACAAAGACGACUUAACUGGAGAUGAAGUUCGAUUGAAAUGGGGCUGAGGACGCGUCUCC